GAGAAGAAAGAAGAGUAGAAAUAUUUUGAAACAUGUCGAUAAUUGAAGUUUUGAACUUUGUUCUUGUCUGUCGGAUCUGAGUGUUUGGAGCGUUUGAGUCGGGAAAACUGAGGGUGUGUAGUCGACGGUGGCAGCCAAGGCUGCUGUAGCCGGAAGUUUCAGAGAGGGAGGGGUGUGCUGACGGUGGUGGCGUGGAGCCAUUGACCGCGGCUGCCGGACCUAGAACAGGGGGAGUUGAGAGAGCAGAGGGAGUUCAGGUGGCUGGUCAUUGUAGUCGCCGGGUGAAGUAGCAGCGGCGGUGGGGUCUGGCAGGACCGAGAAGGAGAGAGAGAGGGGUGAUGGCCGGCGGCCUUGGUGCCGUCGACCUGAGGAGGGAGAUCCGAGCGUCGUCAGCGGCUGUCGCUGUUGCUCUGGCAAGCUUCGGCGGCGGCGGCAGCGGAAUUCCGAGGGAGAGGGAGGAACGGGCAAUUGAGAGAGAGCCGAGGAUGGCGCGGCUCGUCGCCGCUGCUCCUCCGGCGAGCUUACUUCUGGAAGAGGGAGAGAGAGACCGAGUUCUUGGCGUGCGUGUGUGUGUGUUCUUCCAUCUGAGUGUGUGCGUGUGUUUGUGUUAGUGUGCGUGUGUUUGUGUUAGAGUGUGUGCGGCUGAAGGGAGGAAGGGGGGGAAGAAGGGAAGGGUUUGGGCUAGUGUUGGGUUUUGGAAAUUGAGUUGGGUUAGGGCUUAGUUUAAGUGUUGGGCCGAGAGUUGGGCCUUAGUUAUGGGCCGAUUUUUUUAUGAGUAUUUGGGCCGAGAUUUUUAAUUAAAUGGGCUGGGUUAUUUCUUAAUUUUGGGCCGAGUCAGUUGGGCCGAUUUUCUUUUAUUAAGCUGGGCCUUUGAUUAUUUUAAAUCAUGGGCUGCCCAAGUAUUUAUUUAAUAGGAUUUGUGUAGAUUUUAUUUAAAGGAGCUACACUAUU
rnacentral:lncRNA from 1 species